UCAGUUUUGUCUGAUAUAUGUGUGUGUGUGUGUGUAUUUAUUGAAGGCUUUAGUUUUGUGGUUACCGAAGGUUCAAAGACAGCUUUUUUACUGUAUAAUAGUCUAUCUUGAAUUGCUGAUUAUUUCAAACACAAUCUAAAGGUACUGUUUUUCUCCUUCUUCCUCCUCCAUUCUAAUAACUCUUCUCUGGAGUUUUACUUUAGGAUGUUCUUUUCUACAACAGAAAGUCACCUCUGUCCCUAAACAGAGCCACCCGGGCUGUUUUUGUCCUGUUUUGUCCGCUGCGGCGCUCCGUGCUCCGCGGACAUCCGGGAACCACCACAGCGAGGGUCCAGGAGCUGCAGACCCAGCCCAGCUGGGGAUUCUGGGAAGAUGGCGAAGUGGGGUCCUGCUGCCCCGAGGACCUGCUCCCCUUGCGGUCCCAGGCGGGAACUACCUGGAAUACCAGUCGUUCUGAAGAGGACCACAGCCAAGGACGCCGAGAGAGCCUCCUGGAGAGGCUACCGCGCCUGCGCUCCUGCGCCCAGUGGUCCCCUGCCCGCUGCCCCGCAGGGACUCCUUCAGAGCGAGUCCCGCCGCCACACCCGGCGACCAACCCCAGCCAGGACCGGCAGUCCGCCAGAGCGACCCCUGGCCUUGGGGGACCGAGCUCCGCAUCCAGGCCGCUGCAGUUGACAGAGCCCGGCCCGCAAGCAGCCCUCAGCCGCCCCCACCCUGCCUGCGCCCUCGCAGCAGGCCGGCGCGGCCGCACUAGGAGCCCACACGGGGGCCCCGCGGGAUCCCCUGGGAGUCCUGGCUCUGGGGUGCCGCAGUACUGAGCACCACUACCUGACGCCUACUGCAUAAUUAGGUCACUGGCGAGGUAGUUCAGGUACCUAAUACAUAGAAACAAACACAGUGUCACACAAAAUGGGACAGAGGAAUGUGCUCCAAGCAAAGGGACGGGGCGACAAGCCAAAAAGAGAGCUAAACAAAACGAAGAUAAGCAAUCUAACCGAUACAGAGUUCAAAGUAAUAGUCAUAAAGUUACUCAUCAGCUUGAAGAGAGAAGUGGAUAAACUUGAUGAGGAUGUCAGAAAAGGAAUAGAAAUUAUAAAAAUGAACCAGUUAGGGGCGCAGAAUACACUGAAAUCAAAAAUACACUAGAGCAAGUGAACAGACCCAGACACUAUGUUUUAGACCUGGGGAACACCCAGGGGAUACUUGGUCCCACCCCUUCUUUAUCCUACAAUGUGUAGCACAGAGUCACUAACUCAGUUAUAAUAUCUCACAUGAUUAUUUGAAAACUUCAUUUGUAAUAAAGCUUGUUUCAUUUAAC